rnacentral:rRNA from 1 species
CGUAUAUUUAAGUUGUUGCAGUUAAAAAGCUCGUAGUUGGAUUUCGGGUGGGUUUCAGCGGUCCGCCUAUGGUGAGUACUGCUGUGGCCUUCCUUACUGUCGGGGACCUGCUUCUGGGCUUCAUUGUCCGGGACAGGGAUUCGGCAUGGUUACUUUGAGUAAAUUAGAGUGUUCAAAGCAGGCUUACGCCGUGAAUACUUUAGCAUGGAAUAACAUGAUAGGACUCUGCCCUAUUCUGUUGGCCUGUAGGAGUGGAGUAAUGAUUAAGAGGAACAGUCGGGGG